UUGACAUAUUAUUGUAUUCGACUGUAUUCACAACGUGAAACAGGGGAUAAAUAGCACAAUUUAUGGUCUAUUAAGUUGUUUUUAAACGAAAAGUGAAUCAAUUAACAUAAUAGACUCCU
rnacentral:pre_miRNA from 1 species